AAUAUUGCGCAAUGGAGAGAACUCUGACGCAGCGACGCCGCGUGAGCGAUGAACGUCUUAGGAUCGUAAAGCUCUGUCCUUGGAGAAAAGGGGCGUCGGACUUGACGGAACCUAAGGAGGAAGCUCCGGCUAACUACGUGCCAGCAGCCGCGGUAAUACGUAGGGGGCAAGCGUUGUCCGGAAUUAUUGGGCGGAAAGGGUGCGUAGGCGGCCUUUUAAGUCAGAUGUGAAAGCCCACGGCUUAACCGUGGGACUGCAUUUGAAACUGGAGGGCUUGAGUAUCGGAGAGGGUAGUGGAAUUCCCAGUGUAGCGGUGGAAUGCGUAGAUAUUGGGAGGAACACCAGUGGCGAAGGCGACUACCUGGACGAAAACUGACGCUGGGGCACGAAAGCUAGGGGAGCAAACA
rnacentral:rRNA from 1 species